rnacentral:tRNA from 1 species
GGGAUCGUAGUUCAGUUGGUUAGAAUGCCAGACUGUCACUCUGGAGGUCGCGAGUUCGAAUCUCGUCGGUCCCGCCA